AUGAGUUCAAUUCAAGCACCAGUUGAUUCCCAGCCCGUGCGCGUCGAACUGCGCCGCCGCUGCGUCGGCGGCGGCCUUGCUGUCGCCGUAGAUGCACUGGCCCUGCUGGUGGUACUGCUGGUAGCCGCCGUCGAACACGUAGUCGGACCACUUGAGCUCAUCCAGCGCCGCGCCGUAGUGGUCGGCGCCGGCGCCGGCGCCGCUGGCGUCCUCGGUGCAGCUGCUGAUCGACCCCAGCUCCAGCCACGGCAGGUGGUGGUUGCUGCUGCUCUGCGUCGUGGACGACUCGAACCCGCUGCCGCUGUUGCUCGGGUUGUUGUUGCAGCACAGCUCGUCCGUGGUGGCGUUGGUGUUGGCCGCGCCGCCGGGGCUCACCCCGGCCAUCGAGUUCAGCGUGCUGGAGCUCGACACCGACGGGAUAACCCCGCCGUGCAGCGCGUCCGCGUCGAGGUACCCGGCGAAGUCCGCCGUCUGGUUGUUGUUGUUGUACCCCGACAGCGACGACAGGGACACGUCGUCACUGCACCCGCCCACCACGCCGCCGGCGCCGUCCAUGCUGCCCCGGCUGUACACGUAGCUCUCCGCCGACACCAGCGGCGGCAUGUGCUGUCCCCCCACGGGCGACGACAGUAUCAGCUCGGCCUCGCUGAACACGGCGCUGCGGCUGACAGGCGUGGCGGCGGGGGGAGCGCUGGCGGCAGUGGCGUAGCUAGCCCAACAUGCCAUGGUGGUCCACAAAUGCAAAAUAUUCACAUAAAUAUAUUUAUUUAUUAUAAAAAUAUAUUUUUCUCUAUGCUAUAUAGAUUAUGGGGAAAUUCCAGGGUGGUCCAUGGACCACCCUGUCCACCCCCUAGAUACGCCACUGGCUGGCGGGGGCGAGCGGCUUGUGGGUGGCCGGGUCGAUGCCGCGCUGGCGGAGCUUCUUCUUGA
rnacentral:rRNA from 1 species